CACGUAGGGGGCAAGCGUUGUCCGGAUUUAUUGGGCGUAAAGAGCUCGUAGGCGGCUUAGUAAGUCGGGUGUGAAACCUCCAGGCUCAACCUGGAGACGCCACCCGAUACUGCUGUGGCUAGAGUCCGGUAGGGGAGCGUGGAAUUCCUGGUGUAGCGGUGAAAUGCGCAGAUAUCAGGAGGAACACCAGCGGCGAAGGCGGCGCUCUGGGCCGGUACUGACGCUGAGGAGCGAAAGCGUGGGUAGCAAACAGG
rnacentral:rRNA from 1 species